rnacentral:rRNA from 1 species
AAGGGCACCACAAGAACGCGUGGAGCAUGUGGCUUAAUUUGACUCAACGCGGGAAAACUUACCGGGUCCGGACACACUGAGGAUUGACAGGCGACCAUUUUGUAAAUAUGCCAGUCCUUUCAUGAUUGUGUGAUAGGUGGUGCAUGGCCGUUCUUAGUUCGUGGAGUGAUCUGUCUGCUUAAUUGCGUUUCAGAUAAAUGGAGUCUUGAGUAGGUUAGUGUGCCUCGGUAAAACGAGGUAUCUCUGGCUGAGCUCUGCUCCUUGAAAGCAACGAACGUGACCGCAGCCCUUUGUUGGUCGUCCACCGCUUCGGCGUUGUGUCUUGACGUCUUAACUAAGGGGACCGCCAGGCUUUUUAAAACCGGAGGAAGGUUGCGGCAAUAACAGGUCUGUGAUGCCCUUAGAUGUUCCGGGCUGCACACGUGCUACAAUGAUUGUUACAGAAAGUAUCUACUACUGAUUGUUCUCGAAGGCUUUUGAGUCGGAAAGGACCACGGAUAGCAUUAAGUCGGAUAUCCUUUUCUAGGACUGUCUGGCUUUUUAUAGCUACUGUGAAACCUACCUCGAAAGUUCGGUAGGCAAUCAAUUCCAAGUGACAAUCUCCCCUGCACAAAUCAAAUGUUACUUUGCGUGGUAUUUAUACCUCACUCAGUUGACAUGUGCUCUAUAAAUUCGUGGUCGGGACAGACCAUUGCUAAUUGUUGGUCUCGGUCUCAACUAGGAAUGCCUUGUACGGGUCUUUGGUUCAACAAACCACCCGGAAUACGUCCCUGCCCUUUGUACACACCGCCCGUCGCUCUUACCGAUGGACUUCUCUGUGAGUUUGAGGGACUGGCGUCCACGCCUCGUGCGUGCGAUGCUAUGGAAACUCAAACGAACAGUGUGGUCUAAAGGAAAGAGAAGUCGUAACAAGGCAUCGGUAGGUGAACCUGCAGAAGGAUCA